AUGGCUCAGGAUGAACGCUGGCGGCGUGCCUAACACAUGCAAGUCGAGCGAUUCUCUUCGGAGAAGAGCGGCGGACGGGUGAGUAACGCGUGGGUAACCUGCCCUAUACGACACGGAUAACGUACCGAAAGGUACGCUAAUACGAGAUAAUAUGCUUUAGUCGCAUGGCUGAAGUAUCAAAGCUCCGGCGGUAUAGGAUGGACCCGCGUCUGAUUAGCUAGUUGGUAAGGUAAUGGCUUACCAAGGCGACGAUCAGUAGCCGACCUGAGAGGGUGAUCGGCCACAUUGGAACUGAGACACGGUCCAAACUCCUACGGGAGGCAGCAGUGGGGAAUAUUGCACAAUGGGCGAAAGCCUGAUGCCAGCAACGCCGCGUGAGCGAUGAAGGCCUUCGGGUCGUAAAGCUCUGUCCUCAAGGAAGAUAAUGACGGUACUUGAGGAGGAAGCCCCGGCUAACUACGUGCCAGCCGCCGC
rnacentral:rRNA from 1 species